AACGCAUCUUGCGCUUUGGGGUUAUUCCCGAAAGCAUGCUUGUUGGAGCAACUGUACAUUCUCAACCCCGCUUAUCUUCUUAAUUCGGAUAGGUUGUUUUAGGGUUAUGGAUCAUGAUGCUUUGUUGAUUGACGUCAACUGCAUUGAGAUACAGUCAAGCUGAACUUCGACCAGAUAUUUGCAGGCUUCGGCUAACUAUUGUUGUAAAAACUUCGGUCAAUAGUGUUGCAAUAUCUAUCUUUACAGAAAAGUACGCUUGUAAAAAACAUUUGUGACUUUGAGUCUUUAACCAGACUUGAAUUUCAUUUUGAUGACUUGUUCUCCAAUCAAGUAGGACUACCCGCUGAACUUAA
rnacentral:misc_RNA from 1 species